rnacentral:tRNA from 1 species
GCCCGGGUGGCGAAAUUGGCAAACGCGUACGACUCAAACUCGUAUGGAUUCACCUCCUUGUGGGUUCAACUCCCACCCCGGGCA